rnacentral:tRNA from 1 species
GGAGAAAUGGCAGAGCGGUCGAAUGCGGCGGUCUUGAAAACCGUUGUUCGCCUUACGGCGAACCGGGGGUUCGAAUCCCUCUUUCUCCG